UGUUUUCAUUAAUCAAGAACGAAAGUUAGGGGAUCGAAGACGAUCAGAUACCGUCGUAGUCUUAACCAUAAACGAUGCCGACCAGCGAUUAGGAGACGUUGAAUACAAAACACCACCAUGCGCAUUGCGGUCGUCUUUGGUGUGUCGCUCACAAGGCGGCAUCAUCGGGACGGCUUAGCUCGCAUGGCACCGGUGAAUGACUCCCCUAGCAGCUUGUGAGAA
rnacentral:rRNA from 1 species